rnacentral:rRNA from 1 species
AGUGAACGCUGGCGGUAGGCCUAACACAUGCAAGUCGAACGGCAGCACAGUAAGAGCUUGCUCUUACGGGUUGCGGGUGGCGGACGUGUGACGAAUACAUCGUAAUCUACUUUUUCGUGUAGGUUCACGUAGCGAAACUUACUCUAAUACCGCAUACGACCUACGGUUGAAAGCAGGGGAACUUCUGACCUUGCGCGAUUGAAUGAGCCGAUGUGGGUUUGGCUAGUUGGCGGGGUAAAGGCCCACCCAGGCGACGAUCCGUAGCUGGUCGGAGUGGCGGGUAGGCCACCCUGGAACUGAGACACGGUCCAGGCUCCUACGGGAGGCAGCAGUGGGGAAUGUUGGACAAUGGGCGCAAACAUGAUCCAGCCAUCCCGCGUGGGUGGAGAAGGCCUUCGGGUUGUAAAGCCCUUUUGUUGGGUAAGAAAAGCUGCAGGUUAAUACCACGCUGUUGUGACGGUACCCAAAGAAUAAGCACCGGCUAACUUCGUG